AACGCGAAGAACCUUACCUGGGCUUGAACCGCGCAGGACCAGCGGUGGAAACAUCGCCUUCUCGCAAGAGACCUGCGUAGAGGUGCUGCAUGGCUGUCGUCAGCUCGUGCCGUGAGGUGUUGGGUUAAGUCCCGCAACGAGCGCAACCCUUACUCUUAGUUGCCACCCGCAAGGGGGAACUCUAAGAGGACUGCUCCGGAUAACGGAGAGGAAGGUGGGGAUGAGGUCAAGUCAUCAUGGCCUUUAUGUCCAGGGCUACACACGUGCUACAAUGGCCGGUACAAACCGCUGCAAACCCGCGAGGGGGAGCUAAUCGGAAAAAACCGGUCUCAGUUCGGAUCGCAGGCUGCAACUCGCCUGCGUGAAGCUGGAAUCGCUAGUAAUGGUGUAUCAGAACGAUACCGUGAAUACGUUCCCGGGCCUUGUACACACCGCUACAGU
rnacentral:rRNA from 1 species